CAGUCGCCGCGGUAAAACGUAGGUGGCAAGCGUUGUCCGGAGUUAUUGGGCGUAAAGGGCUCGCAGGCGGUUUCUUAAGUCUGAUGUGAAAGCCCCCGGCUCAACCGGGGAGGGUCAUUGGAAACUGGGAAACUUGAGUGCAGAAGAGGAGAGUGGAAUUCCACGUGUAGCGGUGAAAUGCGUAGAGAUGUGGAGGAACACCAGUGGCGAAGGCGACUCUCUGGUCUGUAACUGACGCUGAGGAGCGAAAGCGUGGGGAGCGAACAGGAUUAGAUACCCCCGUAGUCCCUGUCUCUUAUAC
rnacentral:rRNA from 1 species